CGGGGCGGGCGGUGGCCCGGCCCCGGGGCAUCCCCGCGGGCAGCGGCCCCUUGGCUGUCACCCCUGCAUGGGCUAGGGGGCGCCGCCGGGGAGCGGGCGUUGCCCCGGCAGGGGGAUGGAGGGAGCUGCCUGUGAAUUCCCUGGGGACCGCCCCAGGAGCCUGGACUUCGGUUGUCCCUUCGGGGCAGCAGCCCCAGUGCCUUGCCCCGGGGCGCUGGCCAUUGUUAGAGCUAAUCCGGGCUCCGGAGGCUCUUUUCCGUCCCCGCGGUGAAGGGUGGGCAAGUGGAUCUUGUACUUAGGCUGGUAAAAUUGCACGAGAAUUUUGCAAAACUGAUGUAGUGGGUUUUUUAAAUCCCGCCUCCAAUGGUACUGGGGCAGGGAAGGGAUCAGCAGCCAUCCCCUUGGGAUUGGCAGCCAGUCCUGGGCUAAACAUAGCUUCUGAGAGGGGGAAAAAGCCCCGUUUCCCCUUGUGGUUGUUUUUAUUAUUAACUAAUAACUUAAACUCCCAUCUAUUAAAGCUUCCACAUUUUUAUGCGGACAAUCAAAAGAGAAGCAGAAGUUUUAACUGCCUUCUUUCCUGUGUAUCUGACUUUUUUGAGGAGGAGCUCGGUAGAGGGCAGACAGGAGUAAAAGCAGCAAGAUCCCCAACAAGAAAGUUGACUCCAGCAGUCCAUCCUACCAAGGGUGUCUGA
rnacentral:lncRNA from 1 species